rnacentral:rRNA from 1 species
GGAUCAGUAUGUUGGUCGUGCUUCGGUACGUACUGUCAUUACUGGUUUCUACCUUCUGAAGAACCAUGAUGUCAUUAAUUUGGUGUCGUGGGGAAUCAGGACUGUUACUUUGAAAAAAUUAGAGUGUUUAAAGCAGGCUCGCGCUUGAAUACAUUAGCAUGGAAUAAUAGAAUAGGACUU